CUCCGCAAACCUGACGGUGAAACACACAGGGCUUUCUGGAGACCGUCACCGAGGGCCAGGGCUUACACGCUCAUUCGACUUCCUAACGCAGAGUGGGACGACAUCCACGCCGACGGGUGCUGUGGGGACGAGAGGAAACAACCACGUAAAAAGCAAAA